UAGGGAAUCUUCCGCAAUGGACGAAAGUCUGACGGAGCAACGCCGCGUGAGUGAAGAAGGAUUUCGGUUCGUAAAACUCUGUUGUUAGGGAAGAAAAAAUGUAUAGUAACUAUAUACAAAAGAGACGGUACCUAACCAGAAAGCCACGGCUAACUACGUGCCAGCAGCCGCGGUAAUACGUAGGUGGCAAGCGUUGUCCGGAAUUAUUGGGCGUAAAGCGCGCGCAGGUGGUUUUGAAAGUCUGAUGUGAAAGCCCACGGCUCAACCGUGGAGGGUCAUUGGAAACUAAUAAACUUGAGUGCAGGAGAGAAAAGUGGAAUUCCUAGUGUAGCGAUGAAAUGCGUAGAGAUUAGGAGGAACACCGGUGGCGAAAGCGGCUUUUUGGCCUGCAACUGACACUGAGGCGCGAAAGCGUGGGGAGCAAACAGG
rnacentral:rRNA from 1 species